rnacentral:lncRNA from 1 species
GAUAAUAUUCCUUUGUACUUAAAAUUAUCUAUGAAGUGAAUCGUGAGUUUCCCUUAGACACACUUUCCUUCCUCUAACAGAUAAUUCAAGAAUUAAUUUGGAUAUUUAGCUAAGUUGAAACCAAAUUUAUAUCCUACUUUGGAAUAAUAAAACCGUGGUUUAUCUUUUACCUAUUGCAUUUUUUUUCACAACUUUGAAUGAUCAUAUUUAGAUAAUUUCCUCAGCAAUUUGGCCAUUCUUCCUCCACAAUUCUUUUGCAAAAUGUAUUCUAUGUCAGUAGAAACCAUUUCUUCCACAUGGUCAUUUCACUUAAACUCGAGCUACUACAUAAAGUACAUGAUAAUUUCUUCACUUUGCAGAGAAACAAUGUAAGCUUGUCAUGCCAUUUGGCUAAGGAGAUUAUUGAAGGAACUUCAUAUGCCACAUAAGUAAGCUAGUGCUAUUUGUAUAGACAACAAGUAUGCUCAAACACUUGCAAAGAAUCUGGUGUUUCAUGAUUGCAGCAAGCACAUAAACACCAAGGUACCAUCUCAUUAGAGAAUACAUUAUCAAGAAAGAAGUUGAACUUAAAUAAGUGAAAAUUCAAGAUCAAGUUGCAAAUAUUUUUUCAAAACCGCUAAAAUUUGAAGACUUUCAAAUGUUAAGAAUAAGUCUUAUAAUGAAAAAGCAAAUUUUAAAUUAAAGAAAGCAAUGUGAUUAAUAUUUUAAAUUAGAUAAAUUUAUAACUACAUAGAAUGGGUCUUUUUUUUUAGUACCCCCUUUUUGAAAAAAAAACACCAAAAUACCCCUAUUUGAAAAAAAUAUACCAAAAUGCCCCUUUUUUUAAAAAUCAAGUAGAAAGUCGCCAUUUGAAACUCGGGCUUCUUAAGGAAGUCGCCAUUCCAAAUGGCGACUUGUAAGUAAAGAAAAAAAAAAUGGGGCAUUUUGGUAUAUUUUUUUCAAAUAGGGGUAUUUUGGUGUUUUUUUUUCAAAAAGAGGGUAUUGUAAAAAUAAAACCACGUAGAAUUUCUAAGAAUCUAAAAAUGCUUUAAUUAUAGAAAAAUGAAAUGUAUUUAGAAGUGUGUAUUAAUUAGUAAACUCCUGAUAAUAUUCCUUUGUACUUAAAAUUAUCUAUGAAGUGAAUCGUGAGUUUCCCUUAGACACACUUUCCUUCCUCUAACAGAUAAUUCAAGAAUUAAUUUGGAUAUUUAGCUAAGUUGAAACCAAAUUUAUAUCCUACUUUGGAAUAAUAAAACCGUGGUUUAUCUUUUACCUAUUGCAUUUUUUUUCACAACUUUGAAUGAUCAUAUUUAGAUAAUUUCCUCAGCAAUUUGGCCAUUCUUCCUCCACAAUUCUUUUGCAAAAUGUAUUCUAUGUCAGUAGAAACCAUUUCUUCCACAUGGUCAUUUCACUUAAACUCGAGCUACUACAUAAAGUACAUGAUAAUUUCUUCACUUUGCAGAGAAACAAUGUAAGCACAAUCAUAAAUGCUGUUAAUAGUGUGUUGGUUGGUCAUAACAGAGCUGUAAUCUAUGUCAAAUUCUUGGAUUCAAACACUUGUUUCGUUUUUUUUUUUUGUUAAAACAAAGGUAACUCCUGCACACUACUACGGAGACUAAUCCCUUGUAUUUUCGUUUACUCAAUUUAGUUGCUGAUAUCUUCCACCUCUUGCUUUAACAGAAUUUUGUGUGUUUAUCAUCUGUGCCAAUCGAUACCCAAGUAAUUUGAACCAACGUAACUUUAUUUUGUUGUCCUGUGAAAAAUAUUCUUUGUAAAGUUAUUAAACUUUUUUUUUUUAAUGCUUUGGUAUUUGCAUGCAAUGAAUAGUGAAUAAUUAUGAUGCUUACUUAGCUGCUUGUUGUUUUAGUUACCCAAAACAUUAAACUACUUAGGCAACGUCUAAAAGAAAAGCAUCUUGAAAGUUUCAAUUGUAAUAAUCCCCAAUAUUGUUGUAUAAUUGAGGUAUCAUUACAGCUUGACCAUGUACAUAUGUUUUCUUUUGUUGCCCCUAUAAAUGGCAUCCAAUUGUAAUGAUAGUGCACAAGGAUUUACUGGAAUUUGGAUGAUGACUUGAAAUUAUAAUGAAUCUCAAAUGCAACAAUUGUAUUAAUAUUUUUUAUUUUAUAUGAAUCAAAUAAUAUUUCUCGAGUUGAAUCACAAUGAAUGAUAAAUUUAUCUUUUAAAAGAUAUAAUAUUAAUUAGUAUGAUUAUUAAUACCUUAAGUUAUGUUAUACUUUUUACAUGAAUCGAAGCCAAA